AGAGUUUGAUCCUGGCUCAGGAUGAACGCUGGCGGCGUGCUUAACACAUGCAAGUCGAACGGACUUAUUAAUGAAAGCUUCGGCCGGAAAUAAUAAGUUAGUGGCGGACGGGUGAGUAACGCGUGGGUAACCUGCCUUACACCGGGGGAUAACAGUUGGAAACGACUGCUAAUACCGCAUAAGACCACGGAACCGCAUGGUUUUGGGGUAAAAGUUCCGGCGAUGUAAGAUGGACCCGCGUCUGAUUAGCCAGUUGGCGGGGUAACGGCCCACCAAAGCGACGAUCAGUAGCCGACCUGAGAGGGUGAUCGGCCACAUUGGGACUGAGACACGGCCCAAACUCCUACGGGAGGCAGCAGUGGGGAAUAUUGCACAAUGGGGGGAACCCUGAUGCAGCGACGCCGCGUGAGUGAAGAAGUAUUUCGGUAUGUAAAGCUCUAUCAGCAGGGAAGAUAAUGACGGUACCUGACUAAGAAGCACCGGCUAAAUACGUGCC
rnacentral:rRNA from 1 species